rnacentral:lncRNA from 1 species
UGGGGAUCGGGAAGCAGGGGCGUGCGGGGUGUCUGGGUGCUUAGUAAUGCAUGGGGUUUUUAUAAAAAAAAACGUUUUUUUAACUUAGAAAGGACCGCGGGUUGAUUUCAAAGAAAUAAAGAAGUCUUUUUUUGCGAAAAUGACAUCGACGGAAGGGUAGAAGUUAUCCGUGCUUUAUUAGUAGGUAUAGAAAAAUAAAGCAAAAAACAAGAACAAAAAAA